rnacentral:rRNA from 1 species
UACGAAGGGGGCUAGCGUUGUUCGGAUUUACUGGGCGUAAAGCGCACGUAGGCGGAUCGUUAAUUUGGGGGUGAAAUCCUGGAGCUCAACUCCAGAACUGCCUUCAAUACUGGCGAUCUAGAGUCCGGAAGAGGUGAGUGGAACUCCUAGUGUAGAGGUGAAAUUCGUAGAUAUUCGCAAGAACACCAGUGGCGAAGGCGGCUCACUGGCCCGGUACUGACGCUGAGGUGCGAAAGCGUGGGGAGCAAACAGG